UCUCCGUUGGUGAACCAGCGGAGGGAUCAUUACUGAGUUACCGCUCUACAACCCUUUGUGAACAUACCUAACUGUUGCUUCGGCGGGCAGAGGUCCCUCGCGGAUCUCUCCCGGCAACGCCCUCACGGGCGGAGCGCCCGCCGGAGGAUACCAAACUCUAUUUUAACGGCGUUUCUUCUGAGUGGCACAAGCAAAUAAUUAAAACUUUUAACAACGGAUCUCUUGGUUCUG
rnacentral:misc_RNA from 1 species